AUGGAAGGUGUUAGUGUUUACUCGGACAUCAUUAUGAGCCAGUCUCCCACGGUGCUGUCAGUGGGACUGGGCCAGACCACAACCAUCACCUGUAUGGCCAGUCAAGACAUUAGCUACUACCUCAGUUGGUACCAGCAGCGAGAAGGUCAGAAACCCUCUCUCCUGAUCUAUUAUGCAACAUAUAGAUUCACAGGAGUUUCUGAGCGAUUCACUGGCAUUCACACCAGGACCAGUUUCAUCCUCACAAUCAGCAACGUUCAGAAGGAGGAUGUCGCUGACUAUUACUGUCAGAACAACAAGUAUAGCAGCCCCCCUCUUACAUUCAGUAAAGGAACCAAGCUCAGACUGAGUAAGUAA